UUUCCGUAGGCGAACCUGCGGAAGGAUCAUUAUUGUAUAACCGAGGUGCGAGGGCUGUCGCUGACCCGAAAGGUCGUGCACGCCCGAGUGCCCUCACACACAUCCAUCUCACCCUAUGUGCACCACCGCGUGGGUCCCCCUUUGGCUUGUUCGGAGGGGGGCUUACGUUUUCACACAAACUUUGUAUGCAGUGUAGAAUGUAUUUUUUGUUUUUGCGAUCACGCAAUCAAUACAACUUUCAACAACGGAUCUCUUGGCUCUC
rnacentral:misc_RNA from 1 species